GAUGAACGCUGGCGGCGUGCCUAAUACAUGCAAGUCGAGCGAACAGACGAGGAGCUUGCUCCUCUGACGUUAGCGGCGGACGGGGGAGUAACACGUGGAUAACCUACCUAUAAGACUGGGAUAACUUCGGGAAACCGGAGCUAAUACCGGAUAAUAUAUUGAACCGCAUGGUUCAAUAGUGAAAGACGGUUUUGCUGUCACUUAUAGAUGGAUCCGCGCCGCAUUAGCUAGUUGGUAAGGUAACGGCUUACCAAGGCAACGAUGCGUAGCCGACCUGAGAGGGUCAUCGGCCACACCGGAACUGAGACACGGUCCAGACUCCUACGGGAGGUAGCAGUAGGGAAUCGUCCGCAAGGAGCGAAAGCAUGACUGAGCAACGCCGCGUGAGUGAUGAAGGUCUUCGGUUCGUGAACCUCUGUUAUUAGGGAAGAACAAAUGUGUAAUUAACUAUGCACGUCUUGACGGUACCUAAUCAGAAAGCCACGGCUAACUACGUG
rnacentral:rRNA from 1 species